ACCGAAGUAAUGAGAAAGCAUUUGGGUCGUGACGUACCCGACGUCCGGCAAUUGCAGCGCAACGUUCGCUUCGGCGAUAGCGAACGACCACCAUAGCAUCGACGGCGUCAGGUUUCGUCACGGUCGCCGUUGUCAACGUCGGAGGAAUCCACGUCGAACUCGACGACGCGGAAUUGCCUUUGGAAACUUCGAUGGAUCGUCGGGAAAUUUGUGUUCUCGUCGAUAUUCUUUCACGAAGCAAACUUCGAGGGAUCAUCUGGAAAUAUUUAUUCUCAACAGAGGAACACGCGAGCGUUUAUUACACACGGCGGUCUCAUGGGCAGUUAGGAAGCAAUCUAUUAUGGAGUUCCUAUGAUAGGAAUUCCAUUAUUCGCUGAUCAAAUGAAGAACGUUAACAUUUUUCCUCGGAAAAACGUGACGAUCCCGAUGCGCCUGGAAAAUAUCACUGAACGGACAAUGGUUUGAAAGCCGUCUUGCACGAUCCG